AACGAACGCUGGCGGCGUGCCCAACACAUGCAAGUCGAACGCGAAAGGGGGGCAACCCCCGGUAGCGUGGCAGACGGGUGAGUAACACGUGGGUAACCUACCCGGAGGUGGGGGAUAACCCUUCGAAAGGAGGGCUAAUACCGCAUGACACCGCGGGGACUUCGGUCCUUGCGAUCAAAGCUGGCCUCUGUUUACAAGCUAGCGCCACCGGAUGGGCCCGCGCCCCAUUAGCUAGUUGGUGAGGUAACGGCUCACCAAGGCGACGAUGGGUAGCCGGCCUGAGAGGGCGAUCGGCCACACUGGAACUGCGACACGGUCCAGACUCCUACGGGAGGCAGCAGUGAGGAAUCUUGCGCAAUGGGCGAAAGCCUGACGCAGCGACGCCGCGUGGAGGAUGAAGGUCUUCGGAUUGUAAACUCCUGUCGAGUGGGACGAAUGCCGCGAGGAUGAACAAUCCUCGUGGUUGACGGUACCGCUGGAGGAAGCCCCGGCUAACUCCGUGCCAGCCGCCGCGGUAA
rnacentral:rRNA from 1 species